UACGUAGGGGGCAAGCGUUGUCCGGAUUUAUUGGGCGUAAAGAGCGUGUAGGCGGUUUGGUAGGUCCGCUGUGAAAACUCGAGGCUCAACCUCGAGACGCCGGUGGAAACCAUCAGGCUAGAGUCCGGAAGAGGAGAGUGGAAUUCCUGGUGUAGCGGUGAAAUGCGCAGAUAUUGGGAGGAACACCAGUGGCGAAGGCGGCUCACUGGACCGGUUCUGACGCUGAGGCGCGAAAGCGUGGGGAGCAAACGGG
rnacentral:rRNA from 1 species